rnacentral:lncRNA from 1 species
AAGGACAUCCAAACAUUGCAGGUUAUGUCAUCAUGAUUUAGGUUCAUGCAGGACAGAUAAAAGAAAGAUCAGUUGCACAUCCAAAUGGAACACCUAGCUAAUUUAUUCUUCAGAUUCUGGUUUAUUAUUUAGUCCAAAAAGGGUGAUUGUGGGUGCAAUUUUGUUAUCAGUUUCAGGGGUACCUAAUCAAUGUGAAAUAAUUUAAAAAUUCUGAUGAUAUACUGCUCAAUAUAAUCUAUGCAUACAUUUUGAAGUUCAAAUUCGUAAUGUUGAGAGAGUAACCAAAAUAAGAAAAAAAAUCUGAAAAAUGAUAAAUCAAAAGUAAGAUGAAAAGUAUGAGAACUAAAUGCUGCUAGAAUGCUCCAUAGACCACAAUUUUUUUUUAUGAAUUUUGUCAUGUUGAUUUGUUUGCUCAAACCGUAAGAGAGUCCUUGGUCACACAUCUAAUGGUGAUGGAGGUUGAUAUCUCCCCAAAACUAUCAGAUGGACAUAUCCAAAUGCCGGUCAUGUUGAUUUGUUUGCUCAAACCGUAAGAGAGUCCUUGGUCACACAUCUAAUGGUGAUGGAGGUUGAUAUCUCCCCAAAACUAUCAGAUGGACAUAUCCAAAUGCCGAUUUCAAACGUAGAUUUGUUGUCUUUGUUAUAUAGGAGGUGACUACCACUUUGAUUAUAUGGAUACAGUAAACAGGAGGGAUCACAUGGCCUCUUAAAUAGUUCAUUCAAUGCUCAUGUAGGCAUUUGCGUUAACUUACAUUAUAUAUCUCAGCUAUAUAUUUCAUUAAAUCACUACCAGUUGCAGUAAGUUCUUACAAUUGCUAGUAUGAUACCAAGUACCACCAUGGUGUUUAUGAACUAUGUGAACCAGCUUAUAUGGAGUUUUCAUUUGGUAUUCAUUCUGAUAUACAAGGAGACUAAAGUAAACUGAUCUUUUCUGAACUUAGUUUCCUGAUUUUAAACAUACACAACCGUAAUACUUUCCUCAAAGAACAAAAUUCUUUUAUCUUACUGUCCUUAUAAAAAUUAUGAUGUGU